ACAAAUCCCAUCACAGACUUGACUUCCUUCCAACUCGAAGGGGCUCCAGUGCUGCAGGAGACAGUGGGUGGAUUCCAAAACGAAGCUUUGUGACUCAGGCGAUAUGAAACACCGGAAUGUCUAUUUUUCCAUCUUUGAGCCAACAGACUAAAUUUCAACACCAAACGUGUAACAUACAGACUGGACUCACCAGCUGAAUACUGCAUACGAAAGACCACAGUUUUUGAUUAAGACGAGGGCUCUCUGAGGCUGGAAAAAAAAAGUCACCCAACUCAGUUGUAUCAAUAAUGUAUCGACAAGAAAAUAUAUGCCUCGAAGCUAUAAUGAAUAAUUUUAAAACCAUAUUUUGCGGUGCCACUUCACAGUUGCUGAACACAGGUGCGUGUCUUCCAUUUUACACAGACGACCCAUUUCGGCUUUUACGCGGGGAAUAAUAAUGAAGUCUUAAUGACCCGUUUUCUAAUUUGUUCUUUGGGCUUUAAAAACGUCUCAUAAUCAAAAUGAAUGACAAAGCUAAUUUGGUUUUAACAAUCCGCAUAUAAAAUGUUAUGUCAAUGGACCCGAGGGUAAAAAUGAAGCAAGGCCAAGAUGUUAAAGACAUUGAUCAACAAAUAAUCCAAAAUGAAUUUAAGAUGUAAUGGAGCCUAGCGUAUUUCUGCCAAAUAGUUUUGCUUGUUACCAUUUAAUGUAAUGUUGGGAGCAUGUCAUCCCCAAAGGCCUUCAAAUGAAGCAUACCAUUAAGAGACUUAAAACUACAAAGUCUGGACUAAUUUAGCGGAAACAUUGGUUGUGGCAGUCCGUCCUUUGUGCUGCUCGCUCCGUCUGCCCGUCUAUGAAUGUGACUGCUGCAUAUUUCAAUCAACAGACACUGGAGAUUGUGUCGGGAAUAAAUCAACCUGGAUGUCAUUGCGAUCAAAUCUGCCUGCUACUCAUCUAAAACAUCCUGCCGUUGGAUUACGACGACCUUUCGAGCGUGAGGGCUGGUUCAUGACGAUGGGCGAGUGGAUGGAGAGAUGUACAGUAUGAGUGAUCUGACAGAGGACAUCUAAGGACACCCGAGGGUGUGCAUGCUUCUGCCGUUGGGAUUUCCGAAAUUCAAAAGGUAGUUUUUUUUUUAAAU